rnacentral:lncRNA from 1 species
CAUGGCCGUCUGUCAAGUGAGUUAGCGCAUCUCGCGCAUGUAAGGUUGCAAACUUUUUUUGACGCAUUCGGCAGGGAAGUCCCCUACCUAUUUUUUUUUCAUUUUAUUGAUAUAUGUACAAAGAAUAAAGAAUACAAAGGCCUUCAAGGCCCAAAACAAAAAAUACAGAGGAAGCUAGAGCCUAUUCUCAAUAUAUAAUGCCGGGUAACCGGAUCUUAAAAAAAAGGUAAAAUGGCGCGUUGAUUCUAAACUUUGCAUGUAUGUUGAAGAAUUUACCAAAGUGCAAUUCCAAAAAUUGAUUGGUUUUGAGAUCUAGAGCUAUACACAGCUGAGUACAAUUUAGAUAAAAAUCAUUUUCUAGAUAUUUAUGUAAUCCAGAGUGCUUGUAACAUGCUUAUGUAUCCAGCUAUUAUUUAAUAUAAUUCUUCUUUCGUCACAAAAAAAUAAAAAAAUGAAGAUUUUAUGUGGCACAAGUCCACAAGUAGAGCGAGGUAACAAUGGCGCACUGUACUAACUGAAGCAUAUGUGUUCCACGCAUGGUUUAGUAUGUUCAGUACACUUUAUCAUUUUAAGUUUUUAUUUAUUUGUCAUCACAUAUUGUGGCAAAUAAUGAUAAAAUAAUUAUUAAACAAAGAGUAGCGUUUGAGGCAACAGCAACAACCAAGCUCGUGUCCAUUUAUAUUUAUAUACCAAAUUUUUUAAAAAAGAGAAACCAAGAAGCAAGAGAUUACCUUGAAGAUGUCGAGGUGGUCC